UACGUAGGGUGCAAGCGUUAUUCGGAAUUACUGGGCGUAAAGCGUGCGCAGGCGGUUUUGUAAGUCUGUCGUGAAAUCCCCGGGCUUAACCUGGGAAUGGCGAUGGAGACUGCGAGGCUAGAGUUUGGCAGAGGGGGGUAGAAUUCCACGUGUAGCAGUGAAAUGCGUAGAGAUGUGGAGGAACACCGAUGGCGAAGGCAGCCCCCUGGGUCAAAACUGACGCUCAUGCACGAAAGCGUGGGGAGCAAACAGG
rnacentral:rRNA from 1 species